CCUACGGGGGGCAGCAGUGAGGAAUAUUGGUCAAUGGACGAGAGUCUGAACCAGCCAAGUAGCGUGAAGGAAGACUGCCCUAUGGGUUGUAAACUUCUUUUAUAUGGGAAUAAAACGAUCCACGUGUGGGAUUUUGUAUGUACCAUAUGAAUAAGGAUCGGCUAACUCCGUGCCAGCAGCCGCGGUAAUACGGAGGAUCCGAGCGUUAUCCGGAUUUAUUGGGUUUAAAGGGAGCGUAGGUGGAUUUUUAAGUCAGUUGUGAAAGUUUGCGGCUCAACCGUAAAAUUGCAGUUGAAACUGGCAGUCUUGAGUACAGUAGAGGUGGGCGGAAUUCGUGGUGUAGCGGUGAAAUGCUUAGAUAUCACGAAGAACUCCGAUUGCGAAGGCAGUUCACUGGACUGCAACUGACACUGAGGCUCGAAAGUGUGGGUAUCAAACAGGAUUAGAUACCCCAGUAGUC
rnacentral:rRNA from 1 species